rnacentral:rRNA from 1 species
AUGACCACGCCCUCGCAAUCCCCGUCCCAGCCGCUGCCAAUAAUCCUACUCCUCUUCCUCCUCCUUCCAGCAGCGACUCAUUUGAUCCUGGAGGCUGCUGCUGCUGAGCAAGAUGAGCAGGAGCCAAUCACACUUCCAGGUUGCCCCAAUAGGUGUGGCAACAUAAGCAUUCCCUACCCAUUCGGCAUGAAGCCCGGCUGCUUCCGCGAGGGCUUCCAGGUCACCUGCAAUGACUCCUUCAAUCCCCAUCGCGCCUACCUUGCCAACAGCGGAGUAAACCAGCAUAUAAACGAGGUGUACUUCAGGGUGGAGACAGAGUGGAGUAAAGUUUGGAAUAGAUCAGUGGAUAAAACGGCCUUCGAGCUCAUCGAUAUAUCCGUUGCAAAGGGUGAGGCGCGCGCAUACACCGCGGUUUCAUCUAUUUGCAGCCAAAAUCAAACCGAUUACCUAUCCAAGAAUCAACAUAUGGAGUUGGGCAAGAAGAUGAGUCCAUUCCUCCUGUCGGUGGUGCGCAAUAUUCUCAUCGGCGUAGGCUGGAAUGUUCAGACUAUUGUCUAUACCUACCCGUGGUCGCCGCCGGUGGAUGGCAACUCACGGGAGAAAUUCAUUCUCUCCUGCCUUUCAGACCUCGGGGCCCGGCAGUUCCUCAAGUAUGCAACCAACGGGUCGUGCAAGGGGCGGGGCUGCUGUGAAGCUGCCCUGCCGGAAGCAUUUCCCAUCACUGAGCUUGCACUGACGUUCAGUUUGGGCCCAACAAACACCUUGUUUGAGACCAAUCCGUGCUCCUACGCUAUGGUGGUGGAGAGGUCAUGGUACAACUUCUCCACACCGGACAUGUACGGGAACGAGGUGCUGCCCAAGAGAUUCCCAAGCGGUGUCCCCUUUGUUAUCGAUUUUUCCAUCCCCCGGAUGGUUCAUGUCCCACGAAAGGCCAGCAGCCACCACGGGACUAUGCCUGUGUGAGCGGCAACAGCUCAUGUGUCAAUGCGAUUAGUAGCCAUGGCUAUGUCUGCAAGUGUUGGGACCAUUACGAUGGCAACCCUUAUAUCGCCAAUGGAUGCCAAGACAUCGAUGAGUGCAAGCUCCGUGAUUUGUAUCCUUGCUCCACUGACGGGAUCUGCAAAAAUACCUUGGGAGGCUAUGACUGUCCAUGUAAGCCAGGAAUGAAAGGUGACGGCGUAAAAGGAACCUGCACAGAUAAAUUCCCCGCAGCAGCACGUGUGAUUUUGGGUGGAAUAGGUGGUGUUUUUGUCAUUGCCGCAAUAUCAUUGCUUAUUCUUCUUCACAAAGAGAAAAAGAAAACUAGAGAAUUUUAUGAGAAGAAUGGUGGGCGUACAUUAGAGAAGGCAAAUUUCAUAAAACUGUUUGAGAAGGAGAAGCUCAAGCCAAUUCUGAAGAGGAGCAACUUUCUUGGAAAAGGUGGCUUCGGCGAAGUUUACAAGGGCAUUCUUAAUAAUGAACCAGUCACAGUGAAGAAGCCGAUUAGUGGUAGUGUGCUAGAGAAUGAACAGUUUGCAAAUGAAGUCAUCAUUCAAUCUCAAGUCAUCCACAAGAACAUUGUUAGGCUCAUAGGUUGUUGCCUAGAAGUUGAUGCCCCGAUUCUAGUCUAUGAGUUUCUCUGCAAUGGUAGCCUCGAUGACAUUCUUCAUGGCAACAACAAGGUGCCCCUUAACUUAGGUCUGCGUUUAAGUAUUGCUGCAGAAUCAGCAGAUGGUCUGGUUUAUAUGCACUCGAAAACCAAUACCAAGAUUCUACAUGGCGAUGUUAAACCAGCAAAUAUACUUUUGGAUGAUAAGUAUGUGCCAAAGAUCUCAGACUUCGGCAUAUCAAGGUUGAUUGCAAGAGACAAACAACACACGGGAUCUAUCAUUGGUGACAUGAGUUAUAUGGAUCCGGUAUAUCUACAAACAGGGCUACUAACAGAAAAAAGUGAUGUCUACAGUUUUGGAGUUGUCAUCUUGGAGCUUAUUAGUAGGAAGAAAGCUACACAUUCCGACGGUGGUAGUUUAGUAAACAAUUUCCUUGAAGCUUACAAGAAAGAGAAGAAAGCAACUCCAUUAUUUGACGAGGAAAUUGCGGUAACAGAAGAUUUGGAGAUUCUUGAUAGUUUGGCAUGUAUUGCUGUGGAAUGUCUUAACCUUGAUGUGGAUCAAAGACCAUGGAUGAUAGACGUAGCCGAGCGUCUCCUCAUAAUGGAUCGAUCCCGCAAGUCGUAA